UGGGGAAUAUUGCACAAUGGAGGGAACUCUGAUGCAGCGACGCCGCGUGAACGAAGAAGGCUUUCGAGUCGUAAAGUUCUUUUAUAUGGGAAGAUAAUGACGGUACCGUAAGAAAAAGCCCCGGCUAACUACGUGCCAGCAGCCGCGGUAAUACGUAGGGGGCUAGCGUUGUCCGGAAUCACUGGGCGUAAAGGGUUCGCAGGCGGAAAUGCAAGUCAGGUGUAAAAGGCAGUAGCUUAACUACUGUAAGCAUUUGAAACUGCAUAUCUUGAGAAGAGUAGAGGUAAGUGGAAUUUUUAGUGUAGCGGUGAAAUGCGUAGAUAUUAAAAAGAAUACCGGUGGCGAAGGCGACUUACUGGGCUCAUUCUGACGCUGAGGAACGAAAGCGUGGGUAGCAAACAGG
rnacentral:rRNA from 1 species